rnacentral:rRNA from 1 species
GACGAACGCUGGCGGCGGGCUUAACACAUGCAAGUCGAACGGAAAGGCCCUGCUUGUGUGGGGUGCUCGAGUGGCGAACGGGUGAGUAACACGGGAGUAACCUGCGCUGGACGUUGGGAUAACUUCAGGAAACUGGUGCUAAUACCGGAUAGGAGCGCCUGCUGCAUGGUGGGGGUUGGAAAGUUUCGGCGGUUGGGGAUGGACUCGCGGCUUAUCAGCUUGUUGGUGGGGUAGUGGCUUACCAAGGCUUUGACGGGUAGCCGGCCUGAGAGGGUGACCGGCCACAUUGGGACUGAGAUACGGCCCAGACUCCUACGGUAGGCAGCAGUGGGGAAUAUUGCACAAUGGGCGGAAGCCUGAUGCAGCAACGCCGCGUGCGGGAUGACGGCCUUCGGGUUGUAAACCGCAUUCGCCUGUGACGAAGCGUGAGUGACGGUAAUGGGUAAAGAAGCACCGGCUAACUACGUG